rnacentral:rRNA from 1 species
CAGUCGCCACGGUAAUACGUAGGUGGCAAGCGUUGUCCGGAAUUAUUGGGCGUAAAGGGCUCGCAGGCGGUUUCUUAAGUCUGAUGUGGAAGCCCCCGGCUCAACCGGGGAGGGUCAUUGGAAACUGGGAAACUUGAGUGCAGAAGAGGAGAGUGGAAUUCCACGUGUAGCGGUGAAAUGCGUAGAGAUGUGGAGGAACACCAGUAGCGAAGGCGACUCUCUGGUCUGUAACUGACGCUGAGGAGCGAAAGCGUGGGGAGCGAACAGGAUUAGAUACCCCCGUAGUCCCUGUCUCUUAUAC